AUUCUAUCAAAAAUUAAAACAACCCAAGUUUCAAUAACUACUCCUGUAACUUUGGUUUCUUCAUAUCAAAUAAUCAAUUUCAUUUUCAGUGCCAAAGGCAAGAAUAAUUGCCCACGCCAGAUGGAGACCCAGCUAAAUAAUGUAGUAACAGCGCGUGGUCGUGUGAUGAGGGUUCCUUGACUUGAGUUCUGGCGCAACACGUCCUGGGCACUAAACAAGAUUGGGGAUGGGACGUCUAAAGAGGUGCAAGCCUGGAAAACGCUCUCGUCUUGCUCUACAGCACUUGCACUUGUCCCACCAUCUACCAGUGUUGGAACUCUUCCAAUAAUUUCCCACACCCAGGUGGAGAAUACUCCAGUUACUGCUACUGCUACUCUAAAAUAUCUCUCAUCUUGUUCUACAGCGCCUGCACCUGUCCUACCAUCUACCAGUGUUGGAACUCUUCGAAGUGUAUUAAUGAUUAUUAUUUUAGUAACCAUAAAAGUUUAAAACAAUACAUUUUAUUGCAUAAUUAUUUGUUAGAAAAAACGACAAGUACAAAUGAGUAGGGAGGCUGUUGAUUUUUCAUGGUUAUUUUAUAUCUUGUUGAUUGUUCCAAAAAAAACUAAGUUUUCAAGAAUGCUGUGAUUAAAGUACCUAUAGUAUUAUAUUUAAAAUAAAAACUUAGUUUGUAAAGAGACGAAGGCUGACCACAAAAGAAGUACUUAUAGCUGUCUGUGUCUGUGUAAAGAAUUUAAAUAAAAAGAUGUGUAUAUUUAAA